UACGGGGGGAGCAAGCGUUGUUCGGAUUUACUGGGCGUAAAGGGCGCGUAGGCGGCCACCGCAAGUCGACUGUGAAAUCUCUGGGCUUAACCCAGAACGGUCAGCCGAUACUGCGGGGCUAGAGUGCAGAAGGGGCAACUGGAAUUCUCGGUGUAGCGGUGAAAUGCGUAGAUAUCGUAAGGAAGACCAGUGGCGAAGGCGGGUCUCUGGACAGUUCCUGACGCUGAGGCACGAAGGUCAGGGGAGCAAACGGG
rnacentral:rRNA from 1 species